rnacentral:rRNA from 1 species
GACAGAGGGGGCAAGCGUUGCUCGGAAUUACUGGGCGUAAAGGGCGCGUAGGCGGGAUGGCAAGUCGGUCGUGAAAUCCCUCGGCUCAACUGAGGAUCGUCGAUCGAUACUGCCGUUCUUGAGGAUUGCAGAGGAGACUGGAAUUCCUGGAUGUAGCGGUGGAAUGCGUAGAGAUCAGGAAGAACACCGGUGGCGAAAGCGCUCUGCUAGGCCGCAACUGACACUCAUGGACGAAAGCUAGGGGAGCGAAUGGGA